GGAGUCUUGAUGAUCUUCGAAUUUGUCGCACAAAUUGAUUUGGAGAAGAUAUAUUUUUUUUAUAGGAGACUGAUCGUAGAGAAGUUCUACUCUAUCUGGACUUUCAUAAUUUGAAGGAGGGCUGGAUUUGAUGUAGAGAUUAGCUCAAGACAGAUGAGCUAUGAUAAAUCGUCCAUGGUCGAGUUGUUGGAGUCUGUAGAGCAA
rnacentral:lncRNA from 1 species